UACGAAGGGGGCUAGCGUUGUUCGGAAUUACUGGGCGUAAAGCGCGCGUAGGCGGGUCGUUAAGUCAGGGGUGAAAUCCCGGAGCUCAACUCCGGAACUGCCUUUGAUACUGGCGAUCUCGAGAUCGGAAGAGGUGAGUGGAAUUCCCAGUGUAGAGGUGAAAUUCGUAGAUAUUCGGAGGAACACCAGUGGCGAAGGCGGCUCACUGGCUCGGUACUGACGCUGAGGUGCGAAAGCGUGGGGAGCAAACAGG
rnacentral:rRNA from 1 species